GGGAGUGACCGGUUUCGACUGGCGAGGAUGACAGUUAGUUUGCAGCCAGACAUUGAGGAGAUGUCUCUAAAAAGCCUCAAACCUAUAAAUGCCAACUCUAACGUUGCAUUCGCUCUUGCAGCCUGACGGCUGCUGAGCCGGGCGGUGACUGCCUUGGAACAGAAAGUCACUCAUUGUAAGACCUGGCAAGGAUAUGCAUCGUAGUACCUGCUUGACACAUGGCUGUGUAUAGACUACUGUGAGAGACGUCAGGACGGGGGUUCGAUUCCCCCCACUUCCAC
rnacentral:tmRNA from 1 species